GCCGGUGUAGCUCAGUGGUUGAGCAUUGACCUAGGAAAUGAAAGGUCCUGGGUUCGAUUCCUGGUCAGGGCA
rnacentral:tRNA from 1 species